AUUGAACGCUGGCGGCAUGCCUAACACAUGCAAGUCGAACGGGGCAGCAAUGCCUAGUGGCGGACGGGUGAGGAAUACAUCGGAAUCUACCUCGUCGUGGGGGAUAACGUAGGGAAACUUACGCUAAUACCGCAUACGAACUAUGGUUGAAAGCGGCGGACCGCAAGGCGUCGCGCGAUUGGAUGAGCCGAUGUCCGAUUAGCUAGUUGGCGGGGUAAAGGCCCACCAAGGCGACGAUCGGUAGCUGGUCUGAGAGGGUGAUCAGCCACACUGGAACUGAGACACGGUCCAGACUCCUACGGGAGGCAGCAGUGGGGAAUAUUGGACAAUGGGCGCAAGCCUGAUCCAGCCAUGCCGCGUGUGUGAAGAAGGCCUUCGGGUUGUAAAGCACUUUUGUUGGGGAAGAAAAGCUCUUGGUUAAUACCCAGGGGUCAUGACGGUACCCAAAGAAUAAGCACCGGCUAACUUCGUGCCAGCCGCCGCGGUAAUAC
rnacentral:rRNA from 1 species